ensembl:rRNA 5S_rRNA 5S ribosomal RNA
GCUUACGGCCAUACCACCCUGAGCACGCCCAAUCUUGUCUGAUCUCGGAAGCUAAGCAGGGUUGGGCUUGGUUAGUACUCGGAUGGGAGACUGCCUGGGAAUACCGGUGCUGUAAGCU